GAACUUCCUUUUUCUAAUUUUUCUCAUGUCUACAGAAGGGAAAUCUUAAAAUGAGGAUGGAAAUUGAGGACAACAGAAACGGCUGGAUGUGUGAGAGCGGCGGUCACACGGUGGAGGAAGCUGGGAUCAGGUGCAAGGCCACCUGCCUUCACUCUUUCCCUCACAGAGGUUUCAGCUCACUAAAAACUGCUGCUGACAACACACAUUCCCACUUAAAACACCCAGAACAUUUUUCUUUAUCUUUUGAGAAUGUUACACAAAUAUACAAUGUAUUUUGGUUAUAUUCACUCCUACAUCCCAACAACAACAGCAAUAAUAACAACUCUUGGACUCCCAUCCCCUCAUGUCCCUAGACAUGUUUUUAAAUCAUAUUUUGUUUACUUA